rnacentral:rRNA from 1 species
GUAGGGAAUCUUGCGCAAUGGGCGAAAGCCUGACGCAGCCAUGCCGCGUGAAUGAUGAAGGUCUUAGGAUUGUAAAAUUCUUUCACCGGGGACGAUAAUGACGGUACCCGGAGAAGAAGCUCCGGCUAACUUCGUGCCAGCAGCCGCGGUAAUACGAAGGGGGCUAGCGUUGCUCGGAAUUACUGGGCGUAAAGGGCGCGUAGGCGGAUAUUUAAGUCGGGGGUGAAAGCCCGGGGCUCAACCUCGGAAUAGCCUUCGAUACUGGAUAUCUUGAGUACGGGAGAGGUGUGUGGAACUCCGAGUGUAGAGGUGGAAUUCGUAGAUAUUAGGAAGAACACCAGUGGCGAAGGCGGCUCACUGGUCCGGUACUGACGCUGAGGUGCGAAAGCGUGGGGAGCAAACAGGAUUAGAUACCCGGGUAGUCC